GAGGGGUUGGAAACGGGCUGGGCUCCGGCGGCGUCGGGCUUAGGUCGCCACGGAUGCAGGCCGUUUUCCGAAACGUGCCGGGUUUAGCUAUCGAGUGCGCCGCCUCUAGCGGGACGGAGGGGCGGGCGGCGGGCGCAGGGGGUCACCGACGCGGGCUGGCGGCUCCCGCCCGGGCGGGCGGUACGGCGGGCCGCAGGCCUGCCUCGGCCGCCCCCGGCCUACCCGUCAGGCACGGUGGGAAGGGGCUCGGGAAACAAAAGCGCGUUAGGGAUGCCCUGAGCGGCGGAAGAGCGGUUCCCCAACUCCGGGGGCCGAACGCUUGUGCCGGUGCCCGGAUCGCCUCGUGGGCUUCCGCGCACUGGCGAUGAAAACGUAAUCGUGUAGCUCGUUGCCAAAACUUGCUGCGAAGGCCAAAGCGUACAACUUGAAAAAAAGAAAACCAACCCACAGACAAGAAGUAAAACACCUGGGCGCCUAGGUGAAUUGGGCGCGGCUGUUCUUCACGUUCGCAUCAUCAAACAUUUAAUCAGAGUGUGAAAGUUCUGCUGCUACUCAUCUACAGGUCUCGGUUUGGGAACCACCCACCCAUAGUAACGCAACGCCAACGGCCAAAGUGGGAAGAGUAGCAGAAAAGAGCUGGGCUUCGGCGCAAGGGUCUGCUGCCGUAAGACCAGAGACAGCGAGUGCGCUUCCAGUAUGUGCAUUUGGUCGCUAAUUGAACACACAGUUCUGCAGACACUUACAAGGUUCCCUGCUGAUUUUUAGUGCCAAGGUGAUAUUUUUGGUGUGACAGCUGCGCUCUUUCACAAGCCAGCUGUUUAGCAACUGACCUCGUUCAAAAACUUGUCUAAUUCAGUUCUUAUACUGUAGAGGGGGAAGAAGAAGAAGAAUGCAAAAUGUAAUGAUCUGGAGCUUUCCUUUUAGUGCUCUGGUUUCUGUUCAGAACAUUGCAAAUAAGGCUGUGGGAAGGAAAAAAAAAAAAAAGUACCACAUUAACAAAAAUAUUUGCCUUUCAUAACAGUACCCCAUGUUAUACAUUCUUGACCCUGCAUGAACUCUUUAAUUUUACUCAUUUCCUUUUUUUUUUUUUUUACUUCAUAUACUAUUGCCUUAUUCCUUUAUUUAACCUGUGAGUAUAUCACCUUCACAUCAGUAAUGCCCCAGUGUGAGUAUUCUUCAAUAAAGCGUUUCUUAAAACUUA